rnacentral:rRNA from 1 species
GACGAACGCUGGCGGCGUGCUUAACACAUGCAAGUCGAACGGAAAGGCCCUGCUUUUGUGGGGUGCUCGAGUGGCGAACGGGUGAGUAACACGUGAGUAACCUGCCCUUGACUUUGGGAUAACUUCAGGAAACUGGGGCUAAUACCGGAUAGGAGCUCCUGCUGCAUGGUGGGGGUUGGAAAGUUUCGGCGGUUGGGGAUGGACUCGCGGCUUAUCAGCUUGUUGGUGGGGUAGUGGCUUACCAAGGCUUCGACGGGUAGCCGGCCUGGGAGGGUGACCGGCCACAUUGGGACUGAGAUACGGCCCAGACUCCUACGGGAGGCAGCAGUGGGGAAUAUUGCACAAGGGGCGGAAGCCUGAUGCAGCAACGCCGCGUGCGGGAUGACGGCCUUCGGGUUGUAAACCGCUUUCGCCUGUGACGAAGCGUGAGUGACGGUAAUGGGUAAAGAAGCACCGGCUAACUACGUG